GACAAACGCUGGCGGCGUGCUUAACACAUGCAAGUCGAACGGAAAGGCCCUGCUUUUGUGGGGUGCUCGAGUGGCGAACGGGUGAGUAACACGUGAGUAACCUGCCCUUGACUUUGGGAUAACUUCAGGAAACUGGGGCUAAUACCGGAUAGGAGCUCCUGCUGCAUGGUGGGGGUUGGAAAGUUUCGGCGGUUGGGGAUGGACUCGCGGCUUAUCAGCUUGUUGGUGGGGUAGUGGCUUACCAAGGCUUUGACGGGUAGCCGGCCUGAGAGGGUGACCGGCCACAUUGGGACUGAGAUACGGCCCAGACUCCUACGGGAGGCAGCAGUGGGGAAUAUUGCACAAUGGGCGGAAGCCUGAUGCAGCAACGCCGCGUGCGGGAUGACGGCCUUCGGGUUGUAAACCGCUUUCGCCUGUGACGAGGCGUGAGUGACGGUAAUGGGUAAAGAAGCACCGGCUAACUACGUG
rnacentral:rRNA from 1 species